GAUGAACGCUGGCGGCGUGCUUAACACAUGCAAGUCAAACGAACCACUCUAUGUCAUUUCCUUCGGGACUGAUUAUUUGUUGACUGAUUGGCGUACGGUUGAGUAACGCGUGGGUAACCUGCCUUGUACAGGGGGAUAACAUUUGGAAACGGCUGCUAAUACCGCAUAAGCGCACAGCAUCGCAUGAUGCAGUGUGAAAAGCUCUGGUGGUAUAAGAUGGGCCCGCGUUGGAUUAGCUAGUUGGUGAGGUAACGGCCCACCAAGGCGACGAUCCGUAGCCGGUCUGAGAGGGUGAUCGGCCACACUGGGACUGAGACACGGCCCAAACUCCUACGGGAGGCAGCAGUGGGGAAUAUUGCACAAUGGGCGAAAGCCUGAUGCAGCCACGCCGCGUGAGCGAAGAAGUCUUUAGGUAUGUAAAGCUCUAUCAGCAGGGAAGAUAAUGACGGUACCUGAAGAAGAAGCCCCGGCUAACUACGUG
rnacentral:rRNA from 1 species